GAGAUGCAGAGGGAUGUUGCCAGUUAGUUGUGGGGAGCUAAGCUGAGAGGUCCAGUAUACCAAGAUGCUGGUUGGGUUGGGAGCGCUAUGGACUAGGUCAAGUGCCCGUUGAACAGCUAAAUGUGGUUGGCUAAACAAGGAGCAUGGGGGCAGUUGUGCAGAGAGAAGCAGACAUGUAACAUGGAUGAGUCAUAUUAACGACCAAUCUGUAGAACAGAGGUUCAUGCUACGUCUAGACAUUUCCCGAAGCUCCAGGCACAAUGAGCUCUAUUUGUACUUGAAUUCUUACCCUUGGAUUUCUGCUUCCUGAUCUCGCUUCAUUUGGUGUCUGUUUCUUGCAUCCAAAAGAGGCCAAACACAAGCAACCCUUUACAUAGAUUUCAUUUAAUUUGUGCUUCAUCCCCUCCGAGGUUGCCUUGGUCACAGAGUUUUGUCACAGCAAUGGACAAGUGAUAAAGACAACAAAGGCACAGGUACCAUGGAGCCCAUGUGGAGGUCAGAGGACAACUUGUGGGUGUUAGUUCUCUCUUUCCACCAUGUCUUGGAA